GUGGGGAAUAUUGGACAAUGGGCGAAAGCCUGAUCCAGCCAUGCCGCGUGUGUGAAGAAGGUCUUCGGAUUGUAAAGCACUUUAAGUUGGGAGGAGGGGCAGUAAGUUAAUACCUUGCUGUUUUGACGUUACCGACAGAAUAAGCACCGGCUAACUUCGUGCCAGCAGCCGCGGUAAUACGAAGGGUGCAAGCGUUAAUCGGAAUUACUGGGCGUAAAGCGCGCGUAGGUGGUUUUGUAAGUUGGAGGUGAAAUCCCCGGGCUCAACCUGGGAACUGCAUCCAAAACUGCAUGACUAGAGUACGGUAGAGGGUAGUGGAAUUUCCUGUGUAGCGGUGAAAUGCGUAGAUAUAGGAAGGAACACCAGUGGCGAAGGCGACUACCUGGACUGAUACUGACACUGAGGUGCGAAAGCGUGGGGAGCAAACAGGAUUAGAAACCCGAGUAGUCC
rnacentral:rRNA from 1 species